UACAGAGGGGGCAAGCGUUGUUCGGAAUUACUGGGCGUAAAGGGCGCGUAGGCGGCCUGCUAAGUCGAACGUGAAAUCCCUGGGCUCAACCCAGGAACUGCGUCCGAUACUGGUUGGCUUGAAUCCGGGAGAGGGAUGUGGAAUUCCAGGUGUAGCGGUGAAAUGCGUAGAGAUCGGGAAGAACAUCGGUGGCGAAAGCGCUCUACUGGACCGCAACUGACACUGAGGGACGAAAGCUAGGGGAGCGAAUGGG
rnacentral:rRNA from 1 species